rnacentral:snoRNA from 1 species
UGCCUCUAUGUGUUGCCCGCUCAGUGUUUCCAUCGUGAAGCGGGUGUCAGCUGAGGCAUACAGAGACGGUUGUGGUUGUCUUUGGGAGGAGCCCUCAGUAAUUCUCCCUAUAAGACUAACUGCAAGGACACGG